GACGAACGCUGGCGGCGCGCCUAACACAUGCAAGUCGAGCGAGAACCGGAGCUUCGGCUCCGGGGACAGCGGCGAACGGGUGAGUAACACGUGGAUAGCCUGCCCUCGGCACCGGAAUAGCCCGGGGAAACCCGGAUUAAUGCCGGAUAGCCCCACAUCCCUGCGGGGAACGUGGGAAAAGGUAGCUUCGGCCUCUGGCCGAGGAUGGGUCCGCGGUGGAUUAGCUUGUUGGUGCGGGUAAUGGCCCACCAAGGCGACGAUCCAUAGCUGGUCUGAGAGGACGAUCAGCCACACUGGGACUGAGACACGGCCCAGACUCCUACGGGAGGCAGCAGUGGGGAAUCUUGCGCAAUGGGCGAAAGCCUGACGCAGCGACGCCGCGUGCGGGAAGAAGGCCUUCGGGUUGUAAACCGCUUUCAGGAGGGACGAAGCCACUCGGGUGAAUAGCCCAGAGGGUGACGGUACCUCCAGAAGAAGCCCCGGCUAACUACGUGCCAGCCGCCGCCGUAACAC
rnacentral:rRNA from 1 species